UGGGGAAUAUUGGACAAUGGGCGAAAGCCUGAUCCAGCCAUGCCGCGUGUGUGAAGAAGGCCUUCGGGUUGUAAAGCACUUUAAGCGGGGAGGAAGGGCUGAGGGUUAAUAACCUUCAGCAUUGACGUUACCCGCAGAAUAAGCACCGGCUAACUCUGUGCCAGCAGCCGCGGUAAUACAGAGGGUGCAAGCGUUAAUCGGAAUUACUGGGCGUAAAGCGCGCGUAGGCGGUUGUGUAAGUUGGAUGUGAAAGCCCCGGGCUUAACCUGGGAACUGCAUUCAAAACUGCACGGCUAGAGUACGGGAGAGGGGGGUAGAAUUCCAGGUGUAGCGGUGAAAUGCGUAGAGAUCUGGAGGAAUACCGAUGGCGAAGGCAGCCCCCUGGCCUGAUACUGACGCUGAAGUGCGAAAGCAUGGGGAGCAAACA
rnacentral:rRNA from 1 species